rnacentral:misc_RNA from 1 species
CAACCCUCAAAUUUAACUAUUUGAUGUUGGGCAGUGCCUGAAGAAGGCAUGCCUAAAAGUCAGUGACGGUUGCAAAUCCAACCUAGGCGUACAAGUAUCGCGAUAGGGGACGAUUGGGGCCUGUCUUAACUAAAAAUUCCAAA